CUCCCUCGUAGUAACAUCUCUUGUUGCCCCCACCUCAUCCGCUUUCCUCAAUAAAGAAGACCCGCUCGGAAAGCACGCACAUCAUCACCUGCAAGCUUGACAUACCACGCAGGCACAGCGAGAGAGAGUUUUGUUUUCUACCCAUAUCCACAUCGCCCCCUCUCCCUGUCUGUGUCUGUGGCUUUGUGUGCGUCUUGCCCGUCUCGCUCCCGUGUUCUACUAUCGCCAUCUGUGCCUUCUUCCCCUCCGCGUGGUGCAUGCGCGCUGGCGUGCGUUAGUGCUGCUCGUAUACGCUCCCCUCUUUCUCGCCACUGACUUUGCCGCAGCAGAUGCACUUGGGCGAGUUGGUGAGGCCGUCAGAAACUACACAAAGUAACGAGAACCUAUCAAAGGCGUUCGACGUCAAGUGUGUGCGGAAGCAGAAAGCGCACUAUUGCACACUUGCGGAGUGUGCUCCUGCUCACUCUGCCUCGCUUCUUUCCCUCUCCGUUUCUUCCGGCUUGCCACGCUUGAUCAUGCCCCUCGCUGCCGCCAAGACACCCAUCAAUGCCACGGCUGCCACGAAGCGCGCCGAGGCGGAGCAGUUGACGCGCCUCAUGACCCUUUACCGUGCCGUGUGUGUGCGCCACGACGAGCUCGGCAUGGAGAUUGUGCUCAACGACAUUCUCGCCUUCCUCACCAGCACGCACCAGCACGAGCAGGCGGAGGCGUUCAUCGCGACAUGCAACAUCACACUGCCGCAUCGCGCGAACAACCAGGCAGCUCGCUACUUUUACUACGUCGGCCUCACGCGUGCGCUUCGGCUCGAGUACGUCGACGCGCAUCAGUGUCUGCAGCAAGCACUACGUAAGGCACCGGAGCGCGCGUUCGGCUUUCGCAUUGCUGCGACGAAGCUGUCUUUGGUCGUGCAGCUGCUGCUCGGAGAGAUUCCGCCGCGCUCUGACUUCCUCGCCAAGGACAUGCGCGACAGUCUUGCGCCGUACUUGCAACUGGCCUCGUGCGUGCGCUUUGGCCAGGUGGACCGCUUCAUGACGGUUCUGCGCGAGCACCAGGUGGCCUUCGAACAUGACCGCACCCACUCCCUCAUCUUGCGUGUCCACCAGCACGUCAUUAAGACGGGUCUGCGCCGCAUCUGCCAGGCAUACAGUCGCAUCAGCAUCUCCGACGUCUGCUCAAAGCUGGCCAUGAGCAACGUGGCGGACGCCGAGUACAUCCUCUCCAAAGCCAUCCAUGAUGGCGUGAUUGACGCCGUUCUAGACAAUGAAAAAGGCGAGCUCAUCUCGAGUGACAGCAUCGACGUCUACUCCACUUCUGAGCCGCUUCACGCGCUGCAGCGCCGCAUCCAUUUCUUAAACUUGACGCACAACGACGCCAAGCGCGCCAUGCGCUACGACGUGACAGACCCCGAGAUUAUCGAGGAGCGGCGUAAGGAGGCGAAGGCGGAGCGUGAUGAGCUGGAGCGUGCCAUCCAGGAUGAGUCCACCGGGAUGGACAACGUGAACUUUGAGGACGGCCUGUAGAGGAUGUGGGCCGCCCCAAUGCACGACGGCGCCUCUGUCGGAUGUCGUGUCUGUAUUGUUGUGGUCGCUUGCACCUCAGAGGGAAGGAGAGUUGCUCUGGAGAAAGGGGAAGGGGACACCGGUGUAUGCUUCAGAGGGCACGCCGACGCGCAGUCGCAUCUUUCUCCCCUCCCCUCUUCCACCCGAGCGCCCUUGUCGUCUUCGCACAUGUGGUGCGUCUGUCUGUCUGCCUGUGGCAUCGUGUGCUUCUCUUGUAUCCUCCGCCUCCUCCCUCACCGCAAAGGAAAACACAAAUGUAUACGUGGUGGGGCGUCUCCCUCCCCCCCUCCUUGUAUGCGCGGGUGCGCGAAUGGUGGUGGUGGUGGAGACGAUGUGCAGUAGACGCGCCGGUGCCAAGAUCGUUGGGUGCGCGCGUGUGUGUAUGUGAUGGCGCCCGUUUGCCCCCCCCGUCUUCUGCCCGCCCCCGCCCAUCCUUUGAGCGUGUGUGUGUGUGUGAUUUCCUUGUCUCUUCUCUCUCCCUCUGAGGGGCACUAUGGGGUCUUUCUACGUCUGUUGUUCCGAAGAGGAUGAGCCUCUACGCACAGGUGCGGGCAGGCGGGCGUGUCUCCGCAGAAGCCAUCACCCCACCCCCACCCCUCCUUUUCCCUUUAAAGAACAAAAAAAAACGAAAAGAACAUCGCCAAAGGGCAAUGCACGCAUGCGUGCCAUAGGGGGAGCGCGCGUGUGCGUGCACGAGGAUACGCACACCUUUCCUUUUGUUUUUUCGCGCCGCCGCCUCCUCGUGCGGCGGUGACGUCGACCGUUUUUUGUCUUUCCUGCAUAGCCAGGCACACAGGAAUAAGAAGAGCCACGGCAGGAAUGACGGCAUGCCUGCUUUUUCUUCCCUUCUCGCCCUCUCCCUCUCCAUGUCUCCUGCCAUGACGGCAGCCUCAGCCUCUCACCACUUCCUUGUGCAACGUCUUUCCUCCUCUUGUUUACAUGGGCGCCUGAACGUUUUCCUUUUGGUGCUGCUCGCGAUUCGGCACGGUGGCGGUGGCUCUCAUUGCGCAG
rnacentral:misc_RNA from 1 species